GACCUCGACGGCUUGUUUACCAUUUACGCUGUGUGGUAUUGCUUGUGUUUUUGUUAAUUCGAAAAGGUCGUACAAGUGAUUGAAGAGUUGGAAAUUCGUUUUUUACUUAGUUCUACGUUUUAAAAACUAUUAUUUGUGUGUAUUAUAUAUGUGGAGAAUAGUGAACAAAGACAAUAUUAUUGUUUAAGGCAAAAUAAUCUUGUGAGACUUUCAAGGGUAGGUAAAAAUGUUUUGUUAUAUUAAAGCUGGAUUUAAAUAGCAAAAUAAAAAUUAAAAUCCAAGUCAGUUACUGGCUGAAAGAAAACCAGCUGAGCAGAAAUGACAAUUUAAUUGGCUUAUUUAAAUUUCUAUUCUUUAUACACCACAAUAAAAAAUUAAAAAAAUGGGCGAAUCAUAACAGCGUUUUUGGUCGGUUGGUUUGCAUUUGUCCAGCAACUAAUCUAGAUUUUUAUUUUACUUUUUUUUGCUAAAUGAAACUUUGUUUGUUUGAUUUUAGUGCAUGUAGUAUAUGUCCAAAAAUCAAAAUGCCUGGUACACGUUGUGCUGUGUAUGGUUGUGGUAAUACUUAUAAAACAAGGCAGCAAGAACAUGAAUAUUUUAUAUUUCAUCGGUUUCCCUAAGCUAAAGAUCUUGUUUCCCAAACUAUGAGAAAAGAAUGGAUAUUACGAUGCAAACGGGAAGAUAAAUUUAACCCUGAUACUAGCUACAUCUGCUCAGUUCAUAUCACAGAAAAGGAUUAUGAAAGAGACUUACAGAAUGAAUUAUUAGAUUGGUGAAUUAUUUAAUUGUUUAGUGUAAUAGUUUAUAGCUUUCAAAGUCUAUACUGUCCCAAAAUGAUUUUGGUUUACUACUACGAAAAAUAUUGAAAAAAACCGCUGUUCCUACUUUGGGAUUGUAUUCAAAAAAAUCAACAAGUGAAGCUAGUAGUUCAAGCAUCAGUUCCAGUUCAAAAUUACUCAUUGACAGAUUUCUACCUAUCUCUUUAUUUUAUAUAUAUCUGAUAUUUUAUUAUUUUUCUUAAAUUUAAUAAUUUAGAUUAUUAUUAGAAAUAUUUUUCAUAAAUCAGUUUAAAUCAUUUCAUUUGUUUUUACUUUUUAAUUUUUAGUUUAAAGUUUGUUAAUGGCUUCUGUUUUACUAAUUAUAAAAUACAGAUCAUUUUAAAAAAUAAUUCAUUUUCUUUAAUUUCUUUUCUUCAUUGUAUACCUAUUAUAAAUGGAACUUAAAAUUAACUGAAUAAUUGGAAAUUGGAUUUUAAAUUAAUAUUAAUUCAUAAUAAUGAAUAAAACUUAAAAAAAUAA